rnacentral:rRNA from 1 species
GCGAACGCUGGCGGCAGGCUUCACACAUGCAAGUCGAGCGGACCUUUCGGGGUCAGCGGCGGACGGGUGAGUAACGCGUGGGAACGUGCCUUCCGGUUCGGAAUAACCCUGGGAAACUAGGGCUAAUACCGGAUACGCCCUUAUGGGGAAAGGUUUACUGCCGGAAGAUCGGCCCGCGUCUGAUUAGCUAGUUGGUGGGGUGACGGCCUACCAAGGCGACGAUCAGUAGCUGGUCUGAGAGGAUGAUCAGCCACACUGGGACUGAGACACGGCCCAGACUCCUACGGGAGGCAGCAGUGGGGAAUAUUGGACAAUGGGCGCAAGCCUGAUCCAGCCAUGCCGCGUGAGUGAUGAAGGCCUUAGGGUUGUAAAGCUCUUUUAUCCGGGACGAUAAUGACGGUACCGGAGGAAUAAGCCCCGGCUAACUUCGUG